UACAGAGGUCUCAAGCGUUGUUCGGAUUCAUUGGGCGUAAAGGGUGCGUAGGUGGCGCUGUAAGUCGGGUGUGAAAUUUCGGAGCUUAACUCCGAAACUGCAUUCGAUACUGCGGUGCUUGAGGACUGGAGAGGAGACUGGAAUUCAUGGUGUAGCAGUGAAAUGCGUAGAGAUCAAUGAGGAAGACCAGUGGCGAAGGCGGGUCGUCUGGACAGUUCCUGACACUGAGGCACGAAGGCCAGGGGAGCAAACGGG
rnacentral:rRNA from 1 species